AUUGAACGCUGGCGGCAGGCCUAACACAUGCAAGUCGAACGAGUGGCGGACGGGUGAGUAAUGUCUGGGAAACUGCCUGAUGGAGGGGGAUAACUACUGGAAACGGUAGCUAAUACCGCAUACCAUCGGAUGUGCCCAGAUGGGAUUAGCUAGUAGGUGGGGUAACGGCUCACCAAGGCGACGAUCCCUAGCUGGUCUGAGAGGAUGACCGGCCACACGGGAACUGAGACACGGUCCAGACUCCUACGUGAGGCAGCAGUGGGGAAUAUUGCACAAUGGGCGCAAGCCUGAUACAGCCAUGCCGCGUGUGUGAAGAAGGCCUUCGGGUUGUAAAGUACUUUCAGCGGGGAGGCGUUACCCGCAGAAGAAGCACCGGCUAACUCCGUGCCAGCAGCCGCGGUAAUAC
rnacentral:rRNA from 1 species